GACGAACGCUGGCGGCGUGCCUAAUACAUGCAAGUCGAACGCAUUUUCUUUCACCGUAGCUUGCUACACCGACAGAAAAUGAGUGGCGAGCGGGUGAGUAACACGUGGGUAACCUGCCCAUCAGCGGGGGAUAACACUUGGAAACAGGUGCUAAUACCGCAUAAUUCCAUUUACCGCAUGGUAGAUGGAUGAAAGGCGCUUUUGCGUCACUGAUGGAUGGACCCGCGGUGCAUUAGCUAGUUGGUGGGGUAACGGCCUACCAAGGCUGCGAUGCAUAGCCGACCUGAGAGGGUGAUCGGCCACACUGGGACUGAGACACGGCCCAGACUCCUACGGGAGGCAGCAGUAGGGAAUCUUCGGCAAUGGACGCAAGUCUGACCGAGCAACGCCGCGUGAGUGAAGAAGGUUUUCGGAUCGUAAAACUCUGUUGUUAGAGAAGAACAAGGAUGAGAGUGGAAAGUUCAUCCCUUGACGGUAUCUAACCAGAAAGCCACGGCUAACUACGUG
rnacentral:rRNA from 1 species